GCAGCACGGGGGCAACCCUGGUGGCGAGUGGCGAACGGGUGAGUAAUAUAUCGGAACGUGCCCUGGAGUGGGGGAUAACGUAGCGAAAGUUACGCUAAUACCGCAUACGAUCUACGGAUGAAAGUGGGGGAUUCGCAAGAACCUCAUGCUCGUGGAGCGGCCGAUAUCUGAUUAGCUAGUUGGUGGGGUAAAAGCCUACCAAGGCGACGAUCAGUAGCUGGUCUGAGAGGACGACCAGCCACACUGGAACUGAGACACGGUCCAGACUCCUACGGGAGGCAGCAGUGGGGAAUUUUGGACAAUGGGCGCAAGCCUGAUCCAGCAAUGCCGCGUGAGUGAAGAAGGCCUUCGGGUUGUAAAGCUCUUUUGUCAGGGAAGAAACGGUGGGCUCUAAUACAGGCCACUAAUGACGGUACCUGAAGAAUAAGCACCGGCUAACUACGUGCCAGCAGCCGCGGUAAUACGUAGGGUGCAAGCGUUAAUCGGAAUUACUGGGCGUAAAGCGUGCGCAGGCGGUUUGGUAAGACAGAUGUGAAAUCCCCGGGCUCAACCUGGGAAUUGCAUUUGUGACUGCCCGGCUAGAGUGUGUCAGAGGGGGGUAGAAUUCCACGUGUAGCAGUGAAAUGCGUAGAGAUGUGGAGGAAUACCGAUGGCGAAGGCAGCCCCCUGGGAUGACACUGACGCUCAUGCACGAAAGCGUGGGGAGCAAACAGGAUUAGAUACCCUGGUAGUCCACGCCCUAAACGAUGUCUACUAGUUGUCGGGUCUUAAUUGACUUGGNAACGCAGCUAACGCGUGAAGUAGACCGCCUGGGGAGUACGGUCGCAAGAUUAAAACUCAAAGGAAUUGACGGGGACCCGCACAAGCGGUGGNUGAUGNNGAUUNAUUCGAUGCAACGCGAAAANCUUACCUACCCUUG
rnacentral:rRNA from 1 species